rnacentral:lncRNA from 1 species
CACAGCCUCAGCAUGCUGCCCCAGCUGCCCCAGCUGCCCCAGCUGCCUCAGCUGCCUCAGCGAGUCAGCAGCUCUAAAAUCUGUCCUGAGUCACAGCAAGAAGUGGUCAGAGGCUUUGGGAUGCGUGUCCCAGGCACACAGCCGACUCUCUGCAUUAGCCUGCUAAACAUCUUGCAUUCUGCAGGCUAACGGAAGUACACAGUUCUAAAGAACCAAGACUGGUAAACGCUGCAUAGAAGGUUAAAUGACAACCCAUGGACCAUCUGUAAUCCACCCCAAAUGAAGGAGCUGCGCCACAGUGACACUGCCACCAGACGCCUGCCACAGGAGAAAUGCUGACUGCUAAGACAAUGGCUUUCUCUCCUAAGAACUGCUGAGCCAGUGCGGCAGACUUGUCUUCAGAGUGCUUGGAAUUCCACUGCUAACUGGGCAAUCUCAGCAGGGAAAUAAUUACAAUGACAAUCCCAUUGCCUUCUGUUCCAAAAUCCCACCUGCCCAGACCUAUCCAAAACAGCAACUCAAGUUUUAUGGACUAACCCACUCCACAGCUCUCCUGAGAUGUGUCUGAGCUGAGCGCCUUGAUUCUCAGAGGAGCUCUCCAGAUUCCUACUCAAGCAAGAGACACAGCAUCUGCUCUUGAUGGGCUCUUUUUCAGGAUUGCAGGGAGAAGAGUAAGAAUUAAGACAUUUUCAGAGAGAUUCUCUCAAAAGACAUUUAUUUCCACAUUUCAACAUGGGAAAUAUUUCAAUUCACCUUUAUGGAAAGACCAUUUUUCUAUUCCGUGUACAGUCACUAGCUACUAUUUUACAAUAAACAAUGUCUCAAGAAAAGGUGCCA